AAAAAAAAAAAAGGGGGGGGGAGGGUAUAGUCAUAGGAAAAAAAGAGAAUAGUCUAUAAAAUAAAGUCUUUAAAGAGAGACUAAAAAGUAAUAUAAAAGAAAAAAGCCACAUAAGAUGGGAAAUAUACAAGGAGUCUGGAUCCCAUAUAUUAUUGUGUUGAUUUUGAAUUUUUUUUGAUUGUUGAAAAGCAAAGGACAGCUGCAAAGAGAUCUGGAAUUGAAAGAGGGACUGUUGAAAUCAAUCAGCUUAUGUACUUUAGGAAUGCCUUAACUUUUAAAAAGUCAAAAAAUAUAUUUGCUGACUGGAAAUCAAAAAAUGCUCUGGAGUUUUGUUCCCACAGGAGAUGAGAGGCUGUGGAUUUCUUCAGGGUUAAUAUGGAUCAGGUUUGAUCAGGGGAGACCUCCUGAAACUUGAUAGGUGAUAUCUAUCAGCAAAGAUUACUGCUGGUCUUCCCAGGACUUGGUCAUUAUCUCAAAAUUUUCUCUCUGGGACCCUAAAGAUGCUUCACCCACAGACAAAUAGGAAGCAGUUUGGAGAAAACGACAUCCACAUUCCCAAGAGGGUGUGGGGGGCUUUGGUUAUUUGGUUAUUUGGUGGGUUAUGGAUGUUUGCUAUUAUUUAGGGGAAUAUAGUAUAUUGAUAUAAAUUCAAAGUUAUUUUUGUUACACUGUAUAUAUGUUUCUACUCUUGUUUAAAGGAUUUUUGUAUUUUGAUAAAAAUUUUAAGGUCAUUUUUGUUAGAACAUAUUGUAUAUAUGUUUCUAUUGUUUAAGGUAUUGUACCUAUGCAGUUUAUUUAAAAAUAUAAAGUCCUAGUUUUUGAAAGCUGAUAUUAUAAACUAUAUAGGAUAAUCAGGAAAUAUAGGUUAGUGGUUAGUCAUUUAUAACAACCAGAUUUGUAGAUGGUAGGUGUGCUUUCCAGAUCAUAUAGAUAGAUAGAUGGUCUUCAAACCUUUCAAAGACCUACAGAAUAUGGCAUUUUAUGUUUUGGUAACAAAGUUUUUCCAUGACAAUGAGACACAUCUGUUCCUGGCAGCACCAAUUUACUUCAGAGAUGAUGGACAUUGAAGAAACUCCUUAUGGAGUUUGCUUUCAUUGUAGCAAAGUUAGCCACUGGGCAAAAAACCGUUUUUGCCUUUGACUGUUUGACUAUGUGCUGUGCAGACUGGAUGUGCAGGACACACAGGAAAAAAAAGACUUUGCCAAAACAAGGCAGAACAGUCCUUCAAAUUUCCUGCUUCAAUGAAAAGUCUGCCAGAUACUCUAGGCAUGUAGGCUAAAGAUGGAUGCCCCAACAUUGCAGAGAACUCUGGAUGACUGUCCAGGAAGCCAAAUGUCUCUGUUGUUUGAUAAUAUUACAUCCUUCUGGGUCUUUGAUAGAGUUGAAGACUAGACAGUUAUAGUUAAGGUUUUCCUUAAUUAUGACAGUAAGUUAGGUGUAAAACUUUGGAUUCACUAAGAUAGGGUAAAUAAUGCAUUAUUUUCUCUGAAUACACUAACUAUAAAUAGACAGAAUAUUGUGAAUGUAAUCCUUACUUGAUAAUUGUUAUUAUAUAUAGGCUUACUAUGUUUACGUUAAAACCCUUUCAUUUUUAUUUAGUCAAAAAGGGGGAAAUGUUGUAGAAUAUUAUUUUAAGGGAUGUUACUUUUGUUUAUGUUGCAUUUAUUUAACUCUGUGAACCUGUGUUACUUUGUCUGUCUGAUGGUCUAAUAAAGAACUGAACAGCCAAUAGUGAGGCAGGAGAGAUAAAUAGGCAGGGCUGGAAGGCAGAGAUGAUAAAUAAAUAGAAGGAGAAAUCUGGGAGAAGGAAGGAGAGAUCUAGGAGCCAGAGAAGGAGGAGGACAUCAUGGGCCAGCCACCCAGCUUCACAGCAAGACAGAGCAGGAGUAAGAGUUACACAAGGAAGAGAAUGGAAAAAGCCCAGAGGCAAAAGGUGAUGGGAUAAGUUAAGAAAAGCUGGCUAGAAACUAAGCCAAGCUAAGGCCAGGCAUUCAUAAGAAUAAGUCUCCGAGUACGAUUUAUCUGGGAGAUGGAUGGCGGGCCCCCCAAAAGAGUAAAAAAAACACUCCUCAUAUGUGUGUAUGACACAUGUGUGUGUGUGUGUGUGUGUGUGUGUGUGUGUGUGUGUGUGUGUGUGUGUGAGAGAGAGAGAGAGAGAGAGAGAGAGAGAGAGAGAGAGAGAGAGAGAGAGAGUCAGUGUAGCCCUGGAACUACCUGGUGCUUGGCCAACCUGUGAGAGCCCAGAGGAUGAACAGUGGUUCAGACUACAGGGCCCAAGCAAGAUAUGGGGCAGCAGGCAGCCUCAAUAUCACCCCAUCCCACCCCUGCCAAGGACUUAGGCAUCAAGACAGGAAAGAGGCCAUACCCCACCACACAGAGAGCACCACAUCUUCUUGCUAUUGUUAAGGGACUGCAUCCAAGCCAACCUGGCUCAGGGUUUGUAGCCAUUAGCAUCUGCCUCAUAUGAACCUUUUCCUAAACAUUUGUUAUUGACUGUCUUCUGUGCCUUAGUUUACCUAUCUGUGAACAGUGUUCAUAGGACCACUGUAAAUCACUUAGCAGCCAGCUGGUACUAUGGACAGUAAACGCUGUUCCUGCCAUCCAUUCACAACUAUGCAUGCACCUAACAGGCAGUCCCUGGGGAGGUGGCUAACAUGCAGAUCACCGGGUUCUGUUGCUCGGAAGUCUGUGGUGGCCCCAAGUAUAACUUAGCUAGUUAUAACUAAUAACUCCAGAAGUUCAGGACUACCUACCCUAGCCCAGGCUGCCACAGAGCCAGCUGCUCUCUGGCAGGAAAGGGUUCCAAAAGCCUAUGCUCAUGGGUCCUUCUCUGAGGACUCACCCAUCCCCCCACAUGAGCAAGGUCAAGCCUGGGGCUCUCUAGAGGCCAAUGAAUCACACAUGUAGAUGUGGCAUGCAUAUUUCCCAUGCACCUGAGCAUAAGACCCUUGUUUCAUGGAAGGUACUACACAGAAAAGGAACCUGCAGGAAGCCCACGUGCGCUGUCAAUGACCUGCUGAACCAAUCACUAACAACAUGGUCUUCAAAGCCAACGGCUAGUUUCUGGUGAAUGCUCGAACCCAUUCCUUGAGAGUAACUAUGUUUGGUUCUGUGGGCAGACAGUGUCUGUUGGUACCCAAUUGGCUCUGCCAAUGCACUGUGACAGAGCAACAGGUGAGCAGGUGUGCAGACUGGGGGCAAGAAAACCAACUCGAGGCACAGACUUGAAUUUUAUGACUUUUUAUGACAUGAAAUUCAUAAAAUAUUCACAUUAUAAAGUAUUCUUUUGACCUUUUCUAAUCAUCCCAAACUGUAAAAAUCAUUCUUAGCUCUCACUCAUACACAGACAGCAGGGCUGGAGGUGCAAGGCCGUAGAGCCCAGCCCAGCCUAUGUAAGGAGAGGUUGCAUCCCGUCAUCAAACACAGGCAGCAGGCUACAGCUGAUAUGAUAGAUCCAGGUCACAAAUGUCAGAUUCUAGGACCAAAUGGUUACAAGACAGAGAAACUACUCAGCUCAUCUGUAGAACAGCUUUGGUAAUGGACUUGGAGGGAAGUGGGAAAGUCGGGUAUAGCGCUGCACCCCACCCUGUCCUUGUCUGAUUGACUUGGCCAGUCAUCUGACUCGGAUUCUGGGCUGGCUACUUCUCCUUUAGACAUCUGUGACGCUGCAUCUUCACAUGGACCCCUGAAGCACCUGUCCUCAGGACUGCCUCCACAUCCUACAGGAUCCUUUCUGGACUGUGUCCUGUCUCACCGAGAACAUGUGACACUCACAGUCCUUCUCAUGACUGUGGGGCCUUCAGGACCAGUCCCUUCAGACCCUGUGUUUCUAGUUCUGGCUCCCAUUCCCUCCUGCCUCAGUACCUCCUUUUCCCCCCGACUUACAUUUGCUUCUGACCCUGUCCCAAGCCUAGCUCCUUAACAAUCAGGCCACUUCCCCUGGUCCCCUGGUACUCUGAAGCACACACUCCCUUGAAUGUUUUUGCCACUGUAUAGCCGUUUGUUUAUUCCUUACCGUUUCUCUUCCCUCGUGAACUGGAAAGGCAAGCUCCAUAAGGGCCCCCUUUCAUCCCCAGUCCAGAACGCCGAUGGGCAUGUACUGGGAGUUCAACCUUUUUGUUUUCUUUUUUGCAGUGCUAGGGAUGGAAUGCAGGGUCUUACACACACUGGGCAGGUGUUCUCCAUUGAGUCCCAAGCCCCGGGGGACUCAGCUGUCACGGGGCAUUGGGCAUAGGUGCGCAGCUGAAUGGAGACAGGGCUAGUGAGCGUGGAAGGUGGGCCGGUUGGAGGCCACUGAGCUGCUGGGUGGAGGUUCCAGCCUCUGAAGUAGCAGAUGCUGGCUGACCCUGUGACUGCCAUCCCUCCUGGUGCACAACACGACCUACACACAUGAGACCCUCCCUAGUCCAGGGCUGUCAAGAAGGAGGGCAAAUCCUUGUUUAAAAAAAGACUCUUCCUGCCCUCCUCACAGUGCUGCUCAGUGCUAGAGAGCUGGCAGCUGAGCCAAGGCCUCUACCUGGACAGCACUUUUUCCUGGGUACUCACAGAAACAAAAGCCACUCAAGUGCAAGCAGAGUCGGCUACACCUCCUCACAGGAAGCGGAGCACUAAGUCUGGCCUGGUGGCACAGAUCUGUCAUCUCAGCUACUCAGGAAGCUAAGCAGGAGGCUCACAAGUUCAAGGCCUGCCUGGACAACUUAGCAAGGCCAUGUCUCAAAAACUAAAAUGGGCCAUUAAGAUGACUUAGGAUGUAAAAGCAGCUGCUGCUAAGUAAGCCUAAGUUCUAACCCAUGGAUCUACUGGUAGGUACCACUGCCACCAGCUGGCCUCUGACCUCCACAUGCAUGUUGUAGCGCAUAUGCAUGCUCAUGUACACACAUACACACAAAAAGUAAACAUUUAAUUUUUUUUAAAAGUAAAAAGUAGGGCUGGGUGUAUAGCGCAAUGCAGAGCAAUUGCCUAGUUUGGGGGGUGCCGUAGGUUCAAUCACCAGAAGAGAGAAGAGGAAAAAAAAGCUGCACUCCUGGUCUCCAGCUUCCUGUCAUCCACUCACAGCAUCAGCCUUCUCUCUCAUACAAAAUGAUAGAAAACACCAGCUAAUUCCGAGGGCGGACAGGAAGUGACAUCAUUUGAGCCCUACAAUGUAUUUGAUGCUUCACGUGGGAUACAUUUCAUGGGAUCCAUACACAGUAAUCUGAAGUUGUGCUCCUAGAUGAGAGCACACGGAGGCCCCCCCAAAAGUGACAUGAUUCACCCAAGAACACACAGCUACAAAGUAAGUGUUUUAGGUAAAAAGAAACUGAGUCAGUACCAACCUUCCCCAGUCAAAUGACCCUUCUGGGCCCUUCAACUGUGAGAAUUGCUGGAAAGGAGGAUGUUCAAGCAGUCGAUUAAACCAGAGAAUCAAUAACUUUCUGUUCAAAGUCAGCCUUCCCUCAUAGAAGCUGAACACUUUUUUUUCUUUUUCUUUUUUUUUUUUUUUUUAAAGCAACCUAACUAACCCCAGCAUCUUCCUGAAGGUUAAUGUGCACAGUCAUAACUUUGAAAACCCUUUGAAGAGAGUAGGAAAAGUCGCUACAAGUGGGAGCCCAUACUUCCCUGCUUAAUUUCCAAUGGAAAAGUCAGUCUCUUUUUUUCUUUUUUGGUUUUUCGAGACAGGGUUUCUCCGUGUAGUUUUGGUGCCUGUCCUGGAUCUCGCUCUGUAGACCAGGCUGGCCUCCAACUCAGAGAGCUCCACCUGGCUCAAAGUCAGUCAUCCUAUUGGCUGCAGUAUAGACCAGUGCCCGCAAAUGCAAGGCAGGGAACAGCACACGGCCUGGCUGCCUACUUCUGCACCCCCAAAAGCAGCUGCAAAGGUCGUGCACUAACAGAUGUGUCUCUCCUUGCUUCUGAUGUCACAUCUGCUCCUGCCCACGUGGGACUGGUACCACCUAUAACAUCUGACCCUCUUACACUGACUUGACAUAAACAUGUGGUGGGUCAAGAGACAUGACUUAAGGAAUCUAGGACAGCUCCAUUGGUCUGCUGUUUCCACAAGACCUUACUGACUAGGGAGAAAAGUCCUACCUCCAGGAACAAGAGCCCACACCUGUACCACCGCACAGCUGAGACGGCACCCCAGAGAACAAUUUCAGAUCCUCUAAAUUUGUGGCCUAAGAUCACUUCUCUCCAGCAGGAACUUCAAAUUCUGACAACUAAAUCCCCCAGGCUAAAGAGUCAGAUUGAAACUUGACCAUCUCCACCUUCUCCAGGGUUUAGAAGUGGAGGUCACUUGCAAUCAAUACUAACAAUUUAUCAAAUCUCACUGAGAAACAGUAGACGUAGUGUGUGUGUGUGUGUGUGUGUGUGUGUGUGUGUGUGUGUGUGUGCGCGCGCGCGUGAGAGAGAGAGAGAGAAUAUGAGAAUUUAAGGAUGAGUCCCGGGGAAAUUCCCAGAAGGAAUUAGGAGUUACUGUAAUGAAGGAUGGCAACAAUUUUCCCCAUUUUAUAGGAAGGAAAACAAAGGCCUGAAACGGAAGAGUCGAACGUCCAAGUUCUGAAUCUUAGGCAGGUACCCGACCAGCGGCUUCUUUUCGGGAAGACCCUGACUGUCUGGGUGGCGGCGGCCGCACCCGACUCCGAAGGCGGAGGGCCGCUAGGCCCCGCCCUCCCCCAGUCACGCCCCGCCUCCGCACGCUGUCAUUGGUCCAGCCUCGGUAGGCCCGCCUCGCCGCACCUCCCGGCACAUAAAAGCGCCCCCCGCCCCAGCCGCCCGACCUCCACUCGCCCGCGGCCUGCGAGCACCCGCCCCUCGCGGGGGCCGGGCUGCGGGGCCGGGGGCGGGUGGUGUCGCCGGGGCCGAACCCCGGCCCCCUCCCCCACGGUCCCGACAGUCGCCGCCGCCAUUUUGACCGCCCGCCCCUUCCCUCAGGACUGUACUCAAGCGACAGGCGCCGCGCGGGCCCCGCCGCUCGCCCCGGCGCGCCCAGCUUGCCAGGCGCUGCCCCGGUUACCUCGGCUUCUCCGCACUUGUGUCCGCGGAAGGCUUUGAGGAGGUGCACGGAGCGUCGGGAGUUGUAGUCCCGGCCCUACAACCGAUGGGAACCGCAAGACUUCCUCUCGCUGGGCCACUUUCUGGCCUCUCACGCUCCUAACCCCCAAGGAACGCCGCGACUCAGCGCUGCCCUUCUGUGACGUCAGCGGCGGAGGCCCGGCUCGGAGUUCGAUGACGUCACAGGCGCGUUCUCCCAGUCCCAGAGCGUGGCGAGGCAUGGGCCGGUGCUUUGGCGAGUCAGAACCUCGAAAAGGUCACGGCCUGGCUGAGCCGCUAUCUCGGCGACGCAGGCGGCGAAAAGGUCUCUGGCAGACGGGGAUUUAAUGAGAGGACGAUAAGCAAAGGUCAGCGGCAAUCUGUCCCCAGAGCUCCCCGCCGCUCUGGACCUCAGUUUCCCCAAGAGAUAGGUCAGCUGCAGCCAGAGAAGGUAAAACAGAAAUAGCCCCGGCCGGAGUGAGUUCCUCGAGCUCAGAAAUUAAUCACCAAGAUAAUAUUCUAAUGCAGUAUUUUAAAAUAUCAAUUAAUGGGAAAAAGUAGACCCACGAUGAACAAAAUGUCAAAUGUUAAAUGCGAUCGUUCUGUUGCACCGAGAUUAGGGUGAGAUGAGUCUUGCAACUCAGGGUUGGAUCUUGUGCUCAAAUAUUUUUGUUUAUUGAGUCAGAUUUUCUUUCUAAAUGAGAUUCCAACUGCUCUUUCCACAGGAGAACAUGAGUAACUGUGAGAGAUGAUGAAUAUGCUAAUUCCUAUAUAGUAAUCAUUUUGCUAUACCAGUUGUGUCAUAACUAUUGCCUACAUCAAAAAUGUUCAGAAAUGGCCAAGUUGGGUAGAGUGGCCCUGUAGGCACAGCUGCUUUGCAGACUGAGGCAGGAAGAUUGCUGGAGCUGAGCUAUAUGGCAACUCCCAGCUCAAAAACUGAUCUUUUUUUUUAAAGACAGGGUCUGAAGCCCACAGCUGGCUUUAGACCCCUUCUGAAGCUGAGGAUGACCUCGAACUGACUCUCCUGUCCCCACCCUACCCUCCCAGUGCUGAGAUUACAGGGGUGAACCACCACACCUUAAGUUUUGCCAUUUCAUACCUGUGGAGCUAGGGGUGGAGAAAGGUUCAGGAACUGGAGCCUUCAUUCCAGCUCUGCUGUGUUCUAAAGACAAAAUGGCUCCACCUCUCUGAGCCUGUUCCCGUACUUCUCCUAUGCCAGGUCCUGAACUGUAAGUGUAAAAACAUAAGUCAACCGGGCGGCAGCGGCGGCGGCGCGGUGGUGGUGGCACACGCCUUUAAUACCAGCACUCAGGAGGCAGAGGCAGAGCCAGGCGGAUCUCUGUGAGUUCGAGGCCAGCCUGGUCUACAAAGCGAGAUCCAGGAAAGGCACAAAGCUACACAGAGAAACCCUGUCUCAAAAAACUAAAAAAUAUGUAUAUGUAUAUAUGUGUAUAUAUAAUGUAUGUCUCAUAUAUAUAAUAUAUAUAUAAGUCUCCUGUCUUUGUCUUGUCUAUAUCAGAACCCCAAUAAACAGUCACAAGUAAGACAGGUACUGUAGCUGCUCCGGCAAUGGAAGAGAGGAGAGACAGAAGAGAGAGGCUUCUGUAACCAGUAUUCUCUGAGGAGAAGAACCCCUCAAAAUGAGGGGGUAUGGGACAAGCACCACAAAACCUAGAAGGAGGAAGGCCUGGCCACUCUGCAGCCCAAGGCAGGAAGAUUGAAUCAGGCCAUGGGCAGCUAGCGAGACCAUUGUCAAAAGUAAAAUGAGGGCUGGAGAGAGCUAAAGAGCACUGGCUUCUUCCAGCACCCACAAGGCAGUUUGGGCUCACAACCACCUGUGACUUCAGCUUCAGGGAAUGUGACACCCUCUUCUGGCCUCCGAGGGAACCAGACACAGUCAUACAUGCAGGCAGAGUACCCAUGCACAUAAAAAUUCUCUCUCUCUCUCUCUCUCUCUCUCUCUCUCUCUCUCUCUCUCUCUCUCAGCACUGAGACUAAAGGUGUGUGCCACCACAUCCAGCUUCUAAUUGUUCUUAAAAUGUUUUUAACAGUUAAAAGAAAAGAGGUGGGAACAUAAUAGCUCACCAAUAGAGCACCUGCCUGAAAUCCACCAAUAGAGAAAGAGUUUAGAUGUUGCUCAGCUAUAGCACAGCCUCAAUACCCCCCUGAGGGCUGAGGGUGUGGUUUGGUGUUGGAAUGCAUAACGGAGGCCCUGGUUCUGUCUCCAUCUCCACAAAACAAGGUCAGACAAAAGGAUUGCGGAGACAAAGGAGGAGGCCCACAUCUGGCUGAUGCCGCUGGUUGCCAGGUAAUUCUGUAGAAAUGCAAUAUCCCAGGCAAGUGAAGCAGGCUCCCUGGGGACGAUGAACAAUCGAGGGACUCCAAGGAAUAGAGUUGCUCCACCUGCUUCUGGAGAUGCAGCAUUCAGCUGCCCGUGUCCCUGGUUAGGCUUUCCCGUGUCCCAUGUGUGAGCGUCAGUAAAAACUACUCCAUGACUACCUAGAACAUGGCUCCCCCAGCCUAUCUAGAAAUAACAGCAGUACUCAACCCUGAGAGUGAGAGCCUGCCAAGAACUGAAAGACAUCCGGGCCAGAGGGCAGAAAAGCAAACUCCAGCAAGACUUUAGGUUUUGGGUCAGAGGAAGACUCCUCAUUGUAGAGAGGUACCUAGAAGCCUUGUUUGCCCUUCCCGCCAUUCCCCAACUCCCAGAAGACCCUGAACCCUGAGAUAGGCAGAAGCAGAGCCAAGGCCAGCAUGUCUUCAACAACUGAAAAAGGAAGUUCACAGAAACUUUCUGGGGACACACCUGCCUAGAACACCAGCCUGGUUCAAGCCUUGCACCCACACAGUGCACCAGUUCACAGGAAGUGGAAAGGGCGGAGGUGUACAUUAAAGUGACAGGAAGCCACAGGGCUUGAGCUGGAUUCAAUGGUAGAGUGCUUGCCUGGCGUGCUCAAGGACUGGGUUUGUCCUCAGUCACUGAAAAGAAGGAGGGGUCUAGACAGAUGUCUCCAUGGGUACAUGCUUGCCUUGCAAAUACGAGACUCCCAGAACCCACAUGAAACUGGGCAUGAUGGCACAUGCCUGUAACCCCUCCACUGGACAGAUUGACAGAGGGGAGUUCCUAAGGUUUAUAUCCAGCCAGCCAAGUCAGUGAGCCGCAUGCCAUUGAAGAGGGGUGCCUGGUGACUGACAGCCAAUGCUGCCCUCUGCCCUCCGCACACACAUACAUUCCUGAACCUGCAAGCUCUUGUGUAGCAGAUUACAACCUUGCAUCUUGGAGGAAAGCUUUUUGGGACACAGGAUGUUAAAAGGUGAAACAAUAUGAUGUGGCCUGGGGUGGUAGUGCACACCUUUAAUCCUAGCACUUGAGAGGCAGAGGUAGGCAGAUUUCUGAGUUCAAUUCAAGGCCAGCCUGAUCUACAUGGGGAGUUCCAGGAUAGGGUUAGUUACACAGUGAGACCCUGUCUGUAUUAGGGUUCUCUAGAGGAGCAGUAUGGUAGUUUGAAUGUAAUUGGCCCCCCAUAAUUCCAUAAACUCAUAGAGAGUGGCACUAUUGGGGAAGUGUGGCUUUGUUGGAGUAGGUGUGGCCUUGGAGGAAGUGUGUCACUGUGGGGGUGGGCUUUGAGGUCUCAUAUACUCAGGAUACCACCCAAUGUGGCAGUUGAUUUCCUGUUGCCUGCACGAUGUAACACUCUCAGCUCCAGCACCACCUCUGCCUCAUGCCACCAUGCUCCCCACUGUGAUGGACUGCACCUCUGAACUGUAAGCGAGCCACCUCAAUUAAAUGUUUCCUUUAUGAGA